rnacentral:lncRNA from 1 species
UUUUUGUUUCGGUCUCUUUCUUUCCCUCAGAAGUCUAUACCAAAUAACGUAUCAAGUCAAAUGUGAUAAAACAGUCGAGGAUUGGUGUAUAGGGUAAAAUCGAUUCGUAUUAAAUACUAGUAUAACAGAGCGAUACAUGGAACCGGAGACAGAUGGAAACCAAGACCGGGGGCAGCUGCUACGGUUGCCACCGGGAAGUCACCUAAGAGAAUAUUAUUAAUAAAGACAAAUGAAUACCUGUAACCCGGUGGAAUUCAAUGUGGAAUAUUCUGUAGUAUUAAAUACACAUACCAUUAUAGAGAAUUUUGACAUUCAUAGCCUGCCAUUGCACAUUCUUCAAUAGCCCCCGUAAUUGUCAUUUAAGAGGGGCUUUGAUUGAAUAUAUGAGUCCACCAAACUAUAUAGAAACCAGGUUUUAUAUAGGUUUCCACAGAUAACACUAAUGCCACGGUAAGUAAAUGGAACAGGGAACUUUUAUGGAAAAAUCCUUGCUCAAGGGGAUAAAAUAUCAUGAUCUACACUGGUAGGAUUUCAACUUCACUAUGAAUAUUUUUAGAUUACAACCUACGCAAUCUAGGAAUGUCACGACCCAAACCGAUGGGCCGUGACAUGCACCCAGUACCUUACUCAACCGAGUACCAACGUAACGUAUCUUUUUUAUUACAUCAUCAUAUACACAUGACAUACGAGCCUAAUAGGCCAACAUGAUCCUUUAUAAACUCAAAACAUAGGCCGAAAAGGCCGUACAAUCUUUUAUGUACAUGACAUAUAUCUACAAGCCUCUAAGAGUACAUAAAUGUCAUAAAGGACGGACAGAGUCCCACCAUACCAACCAAUACACGUCUAAAUCAUACUAACCAAACAAGCAACUCCGAAGCAAAUGGAGCGCACCAACAUCUUCCACUGAGUUGAUAGCCUACUUGGAGGGCUCUCGAUCUGUCUAUCGAGACCUGCGGGCAUGAAACACAGUGUCCCCAGGCAGAAGGGACGUCAGUACGAAUAAUUUACCGAGUAUGUAAGGUACAUAAAAUAAAUACAUAAGAGACAUGGAAGAAAUAUAGAGUACAAGACUCAACCUGUAAGUCUGAAUAACUUUGUAAAUCAUAAAUUACUUUUAGCAUCAUGCAUAUACGUAUGAAUGCCAUGUCGUGCAUAGGUACAUGUUUCAUAACAUCAUCAGCCCCUGAGGGCAUCCCAUCAUAUCAUAUCGGUCAUUGUGGGUAAAUCAUCAUUGUAUACCAACUGAUCAGGUGGUGGUGUGUAUAUAAUGCCAUAAUAUUUCCAAUAUCCCAUAUACAUAUAUAUACAUACAUAUAUACGCGUAUAUAACGCCGUCUGGUCAUGGAUCAAUGCACAUGAAUGCAAUGUAUGAAAAAUAUGUUAAUAAUAUCUUUCAUAAUUUCAUAAGACCAUUUUGCCUUUGAGUAAUAUCAUAAAGUAAACUUUUUUUCAACUUUCAUAUUUUUCUGGGACCUAGGAACGGAUGAUAAAAUAUUAUGACACAUGGAAAUUCAAGAACACAGAUAUCUCUAAUAUUUCUAUGAAUAUAGUCAUUUGUGGAAUUUGUGCAUUUGCACGUUUCGUUCAUAUCGUAUGGAUCAUGCCAAAAGAAAGAAGGGAUAGCCUUAAUAUACCUAGAGUAGGAACAAUUCCGUAUAAUAUUCUUGGAGAAGAUUGCACCGUACUCCUUUAGACCCGCAAAAUUUUACGUUGCUACGAUUCUUAAAAACUCUCAUUGGAACCUUGUAAGAGAAUUUGAUUGCAAUUCCUGCUCCAUAUAUUCUAACUUCUAGAUGCUAAUCCCUUGCUUAUGUAUGCUUACGCAAUCAUACAGAUAUGAUAUAUUUUGUUACGUUAGGUUGGUAUUAUAGUUUUUCUUCUUUGGACACAAAGCAAACAGUAUUUUUAGUUGGGUUAAUUAGUGAAAUUGUCAAUGGAAGAUGCUAUUUUCCUCUUUGGCUAAUAGUUCUUUGGACAAGAUGGAAUGUUUCUCUGGUGCUCACGUUUUUGGGUUCAAAAUCAAAUUGUAAAAUUGUUGUUUUAUCUUCCUUUCUUUCUAUAUAAGAAUCUUUAUGGAUAAGGCUUUGUAAUUUAGCCUUGACACAUGUAAAGGUGACUUAUGACUCACCUUAAACAUAAAAGGGGCUGCCACGUCCCUUAGUUAUGAUCUUGUUAAUUUUAUCCACUUAUUAGUUAGCCGGGUAAUGUCUCGUCAUCCGGUAAUUAACCAAUUACUCGCAUAAUUUAAAAAUUAUCCCAAAUUACUUAAAGUUCUAUUUAUUACUAAAAUACUUCAUAUAUACUUUAUAUUUUAUACUACUAUGGUCAUAUGGUACUUUGCAUGGUACUAGUCCAUAAAUACUGGGUAUUUUAGUUCGGGCCAUAUUUUAUCCCAAAAUGCCAAACUUUGACAAAAUUCGUUUUCUUAGACUUGCUCCCGCUUUCACCUUCAUGAAUUUACUAAUAACUUGUGAAAUAGCAUAAUCCUUAUAAUCCCCAAAUAAUCUUUUCCUUGGACUGAUGUCAAUUGCCUUAUGACAAAUUCAAUGUAAAAUACUGCAGGGUGCAACAUCGUCGUAACUUAUUACUGCAAUGCGUAACAUCAUUGUAAUGUAAUACUACAGGGUGCAACAUUGUCAUAACUUAUUACUACAAAGCGUAAUAUCACCGUAAUGUAAUACUGUCGGGUACAACACUGUCGUAACUUAAUACUGCAGGACGUAACAUCAAUCAUAAUAUAUUACUACAGAGGGUAACAUCAUCGUAAUAUAUUACUGCAGAGGAUAACAUCGUCGUAAUAUAAUACUGCGGGACGUAAUAUCGACGUAAUAUUGCGGGGCGUAACAUCACCCCCCCCCCCCUUGGAACAUUCGUCCUCGAAUGUUGACUGAUGCACUUAUCAUUUUCAUAACUUAUAUUUUCCGAAUACUUUACAACUUUCCUUGCCAUCUAGGCGACUGUUCUGUGAAUAAGUCCAAAGUCUAGGGCAUUCCCCCCUUAGGCCUUCUUUUCACACCACAACUUGUAGUCGGAAUCCUUCCAAUCUCGUAACUGUUGCUACCUUUCAUCAUGCAGCAUGUACAAUUUUUGACCUUGUAAGUGUGCUCAAUCUCUAGGCUUCAUAUGUAGAGCUUGAUAAGAUGUCCAUUUGGGCAUCUAUGAGUUUACUGAAGUUCUUCACUCGGUACUUUGUUGAACUCACAAAUAUUGCUAUAUCUCAUUGCAUAGGUUCAUUUAGCCAUCCAUAUGAAUAUACUACCAUAACUCUUACUUUAAUUUAUCAUUGCUGAGGUCUGCUACCAAAUCUUAGCUUACUCUCGUUGCUUAUUCCAUAUGUAUAAAUUUAAGUCCUUUAAUGCUUCCUCAUUACUGCUCAUCUUUAGAAUGACGGCCUAAUAUCAUCUCAUACUUUAUGACUUUUGUACAUCCAUUGUUGAUUCACCUCAAUAUUGAUUUACAAUAUACAACUGAUAACCUGAAACUUCUAACGUAAUACUUUGCCGCUAGGGCUUACAUUGUAUCGAUCAUUACUGCGAAGCGUAAUGAUCGAAGCCAACCCUGCACUACUAUUGAGUAGCGAGAGAGGGUCGAAGCAGCUUUUACCCGAUUAAGGUCGGGAUCGAUUUCCACAGGGAGUUAGAAGUUGGAGUCGGGUGUCUAUCUAAAGUGGAGUUGUGUAUGUAUUCCAAAUUGUACUUCUAAACAUUUUUGGGUUUUGAUUUACUUCUAAUUAUAUAAACUACAAUGCACAAUUAAACUAGAAUAAGUAAGAGUAAACUACUGCGAGUUGUUCAAAUGGUUUAAAGGCACUAGGGUAGUGACUUUCACCUAGGUGGUCAAUUGACGGGUACUUGAGUCUAAGGCAUGAUUGACACAUUUGGGGAGUAUGAUAUAACAUAGCACGAUUUUACCCACUCUACACCUCUUGUGGUCCGAGUGAUUUAGCCUAUUGGGUAUGCAAAUUUGCACAAGUAAUCCAGGUUCAAGUCGGGUAUUACUAUCUCUAGAUUUAACCCUUUAAUUGGGGCUAUCAAUCUCUUGAAUACGCCCUAAUUCCUUGUUGGACCAAUUUCAGAGACUUAGGCUCUUUUUCUCAAGAAGAGCCCAAGUCAACUAAACACAAACUAGUGUUUGCAACCACUAAUUCAGCAAUAACCAUGAAAUUAGUCCAAAUAUCAAACACUCAUUGACAAUCAAGCAUCAAAACACAAGACUCAUCAAUUACCCACACUAGGGUUGAGCUACAACCCUAACUUAUGGGUCUAGAUACUCAUAAUUAGAGAAGAAAAUAAAGAAAUAGAUGAAUAAAAACUCAUAUUAAUUAAUUGCUAAGAUAAACUAGAAGAUUCAAUGUUGAAAUGAAGCUAAAAUUACUAAAAAUAGCUAAACUAUCGAAGUCACGAGCGCAGCUCAGUACUUAAACUUUCUGAUGACCUAAAAAUGGAAAAAGAAGCUAUUUAUACUAAGCUGAAAAAUCUGGACAAAAAUACCUCUGCGGGGCUAGUGCGGACCGCACAAAAUCACGUGUCGCCGCACUAGGGCUCUGAACUUGAAAAUCCAACUCUCUAAACUCGGGCAAUGCGGACCGCACAGAAUCGAGUACGGCCACGGUGGCUUAUAGUGCGGUCCGCGUGAAAUGGAGCGCGAACCGCAUUGGCUUCAAUCUCCAAAUUGGCACUUCUCUGAUCCUUGGUUCUGCGGACCGCACUAAAUCGAGUGCAGCCGCAGUGACUGCAAUGCGGACUGCAUUAAAUCUCAUGCGGCCGCAUUGCCUGUUGGCCUGGAAAUCAACCUCUCUGAACCUCACUUGUGCGGACCGCACAGAAUAGUGUGCAGCCGCAUUGGGCCUGUUUUGCCUAAGCUUUGUCUUGUCUUGGUACUUGUGCAAGUUUCACUCCUUUUGAGCUAAUCUUUGAUAUCUUGUCACUUUAUUGAUCAAACCUGCAAUCAAGCACAACUUGUGAGCUUUUUGGGACUAUUUUGUACAAAUUUCUAAUCAAAACAUAAGCAAGAAAGAGUAUAAAAUGUAUCAAAAUCCCUAGUUAUCAACUCCCCCAAACUUAAGUUUUUGCUUGUCCUCAAGCAAACAAAAUAAGACCCACCCCUUAAGGAAAAUUCCAAGAAAAUUCAGUUGUCCUAAAGUGCCCUCAUCUAGCAUCAAUUGGGACUAACAAUUUCCCUCAAUACAAAUGAAUCAUUAACAACAUUUACUCUUUGAAACACCAUUGAUUAAGUGCGACACAAGAGCAUCAAGAGUUGACACAACACAUCAAAGAGCUCUUUCUAUUGCUUUGGUCAUUGUGGAACCCAAACUCACACAUCCUCAACUCUCCAUAAGCAAACCUCACCUUUAGAAUAGUAGCACUCAGAACGAGGUUAAUGUAAAAUCACUCAUCUCUCUCAAGGAAAAGUCACAAGUCCGGCUCUAAGUACCAUAUGCUUGCCCCUUAUGUGAGUCACCAAUAAUGUAAGUUUCAUUCAACUAGAGAUCAUAUAGAGCUUUUGUGGAGACAUAGUGAAGGCUUUUGGUUCCUGGUAGGCAAUGUUUGGUCUAAGUAGGUUCCAUCUUCCCUUAAGCACUUCUUUUGUUUCAUUUUGGCACACAUUCACUUGAUUUUUUGAGUCUUUUCACUACUUUCUAAGGGGUUAGAGAGACACACUAUCACUCUUUCUUAUACAUUUCAAUUCUUUUCUCCUUUCUCAAUUUUUCACACCUUUUCAUUCUUNNNNNNNNNNNNNNNNNNNNNNNNNNNNNNNNNNNNNNNNNNNNNNNNNNNNNNNNNNNNNNNNNNNNNNNNNNNNNNNNNNNNNNNNNNNNNNNNNNNNNNNNNNNNNNNNNNNNNNNNNNNNNNNNNNNNNNNNNNNNNNNNNNNNNNNNNNNNNNNNNNNNNNNNNNNNNNNNNNNNNNNNNNNNNNNNNNNNNNNNNNNNNNNNNNNNNNNNNNNNNNNNNNNNNNNNNNNNNNNNNNNNNNNNNNNNNNNNNNNNNNNNNNNNNNNNNNNNNNNNNNNNNNNNNNNNNNNNNNNNNNNNNNNNNNNNNNNNNNNNNNNNNNNNNNNNNNNNNNNNNNNNNNNNNNNNNNNNNNNNNNNNNNNNNNNNNNNNNNNNNNNNNNNNNNNNNNNNNNNNNNNNNNNNNNNNNNNNNNNNNNNNNNNNNNNNNNNNNNNNNNNNNNNNNNNNNNNNNNNNNNNNNNNNNNNNNNNNNNNNNNNNNNNNNNNNNNNNNNNNNNNNNNNNNNNNNNNNNNNNNNNNNNNNNNNNNNNNNNNNNNNNNNNNNNNNNNNNNNNNNNNNNNNNNNNNNNNNNNNNNNNNNNNNNNNNNNNNNNNNNNNNNNNNNNNNNNNNNNNNNNNNNNNNNNNNNNNNNNNNNNNNNNNNNNNNNNNNNNNNNNNNNNNNNNNNNNNNNNNNNNNNNNNNNNNNNNNNNNNNNNNNNNNNNNNNNNNNNNNNNNNNNNNNNNNNNNNNNNNNNNNNNNNNNNNNNNNNNNNNNNNNNNNNNNNNNNNNNNNNNNNNNNNNNNNNNNNNNNNNNNNNNNNNNNNNNNNNNNNNNNNNNNNNNNNNNUCUUUGUUUUUCAUUGCCUUUCCUUUUCUUCAUUUUUUUUUGCAUCUUUUUGCCACUUUGUUGCAAUCCUCGUCUCUCCCCCCAAAUUUAUACUUUUUCCAUGUGCUAAAGAGAAGAUCGGGUGCCAAGAGAGGGUAUCUUUUAGAAUGGGUAAAGGCUUGUAUCACGAUUCUUGAAGGAAAAAAGUCUAAGGCUCAAAAGGGUUGACUAGGGAUCUUAUCAUUGGUAGGUUAUGGAAGUGUUCAAGCUAUCAUUUGGACCAAAGAGAGCCUAUAAUCAUGUCUCAAGUUAGAAUUCACUUAGGAUUUCGCCUCAACAAACAUUCAGUGCAAGUUCUAGACCAAUGGCUUGGGACUUGGACUUGCAAUGCGAUUUCUCACCACACAAGAUAUGGGAUCACUAAAGACAUAGAGUCGGAGGUCCACAAUGAUAUUAUAUAAGAUUUGAACAUACAAUGGUCCCGAAAAACCACUUGAUGAUUAUCGGUCAACACAAGAGUCUCAAGGUCACGACUUUCACCAUCCUAAACACAACAAUUUAUUUUUGACCUUAAGAUCAGAGGAAAAUGUGCUAGGCCCAAGUGAAGCUUUUCUUGAGGUACCCUUACUACUAACUACUAAAAAUCAAAGAGAAAAAUGAACUCAAACCCUUAAGAAGGUUGUCACUCCAUCCAUCAUUGGGAAGAGCCACUCGGUUCACACAAACUCCACCUUUGAAAAGAACUGUGACAUUAAGAAAACCAAAGGCUUAUUGCAAACGUUCAGAACAAGAAGCUACGAACAUAAAUAAGAAGCUAAGAAAGAAAAAUUGUGGAAAGUAAAAUGAAUAUAUACAAGAGGGGAUUUAAUCGAAUAUACAAUAGAUGGGAUGAAUAUGUACAAUGUAAUAUAACUUUAUAUACAGACCCAAAGUAAAAUAAAAGGUUAAGAAAUGUAACGAAAUGUUAAAAUUAUAUACAAACCAAAGAUGAAAAAUAAAGAAAGCAUAAAAACUGUUAAAUAUAUACAAUAAUCCAAAUCCAUAAAGUAGGGCCUACCCCCCCCCCCACCCCAAUGAAAGUUGGCAUUGUCCCCAAUACCAACUAAACCAAAUAAGCACCAAAAAGAAAAGGGGAAAAGGAGAUAGAGACUCUAUAUGGCCCGUCUGUAUGCAUGGGCUCCUGAGUGGUCCCUGGGUCCUCAAUAUGCUCGGAACCUUAGACUGGUUCCCUAUGGCCUAUUAUUCUGCUGCUGGGACCUGGGCCUUGACCUGGACAGGCUCCUGAGGUGCAUCUUGUGGAAGACUAGAGGAGGUCUCUGGUGGGUCUGCCAACUGGAUGACUGCAUCAUCUGCUCGGGGAAUCAUCCUCUUCCUCUUGGGAGGCCUCUGGGACUGCUCAGGCUGGGGAUGAGUUGCUGGUACCGAGUGCUGUAGCAAUAAGUCCAAAGGUAGAUGAUCUUCUUUCAUCCUGUCAAUCUCAGCCCUCAGCACCUUUACGGACUCCUUGGAAGCUCGCGUCUUCCUCAACUUCUUGUGCUCCUUAGCAAGCUCCUUAAGAGUCUUGAUGUGUGAAUCAACAGCAUCCAUGAGCACUUUCUAGGUGUCAAGUAUUUUUUUCUGGUUGGCCAGAAUCUCCUUGAGGGCAUCCUCGAUAGAUUGUGAGACCUGCGGAGGCAGAGGUGCCGAGUGAGCUUCCACUGUAGUAGUGAGGAUAGACAACUUGGAUGAAACUUUGUGCAUCCAGUUGUUGAUGCUUAGAAGAGCCUGGCUCAGUCGAUGUGCAAUCACUGGGUAGGCUCGGGAAGAGGGUAUCUCGGGAUCUGCUGAAAUGGAUGGACCAGGAGGAAUGUCUGUGGAGGUGGAGGUAGGUUGAGUAGGAGCCACUACCACAACUGGCUCUUCAGACUGGCCAGUUGGAGCAGUAGUUGCUCCCUUGAAGUUCUUGCUCUUUGGGUUGUCAUCACCCUGCAUAAUAUACCAUGAGAACGAGGCCUUCGCUUUUACCUUUAUAUCAAAUUGCCUCUUUUCUACCUUUAAGUCCGUGAAGUACAUGGUUAAGAAGCUGAGGAAGGGGUAGUUUCUGUCACCUUUACUGCCUACCUAUGUAAUCACCCGAGACAUCACCUUCCCGAUGUUAAUCGGGUACCCCGCCAUGAUUUAUGCUACCACUACUGCCCCGUGAAGAGGGAGUGAGUUGUUAUGAGUAGUGGGAUCCAAUCUGUUGCACCCGAAUGUUUCUCACCCCUUGGCCUCGAAGUUCAAACUUAUUCUCAAAAUUUUCACUCUUGCAUCCAACCAAUCGGGGGUGGUACCUGGGAUUACCAGAUACUGUGCCAACCAAGGACAUACCUCCUCACCUAAUUCCAUAUUUGCCAAAUAUAGCGACUCAUCCUCCUCAUCAAAGCCCAAGUAGUCAUUUAUGGUUUUCCCAUCGAACAACACUUUCAAAUUGCACACCUUGGUCACUUUGGUGCCCUUCUUGAUGUGGGAAACAUUGGUGUAGAAUUCCUUGACCAGGUGCUCGUUUUCAUCCUCACAGUUGUUUAAGAAAUACUCUUAGCCCAAUCUCUCUCUAAACUGCCUUCUCACAUUGGGGUUGUGAGGCAAAAGGUCUUUAUCUACAAAACUUCUCUCCAGAAUUAAUUUCCUCACAGGCCGCCAUUCUCUGAAUUUAUGGUAGGCCACCUCGCUCACAAAGUGGUCUUGCCACACCUCCGGGUUUCUAGUUCAUUCUACCCCGCCACCUGGGGAUCACCCCUUCUCCUACUACCUCUUCUUCUCCUACUUCACCCUAUCCGCCUUCAGUGCAUCUGCAUUGAAAAUUCUAGAGACCUGAAUACUUUUUCCACUAUGUCCUGCACUAUAUCAACACAAUCCUAUAGCAUCUCACAACCAACUAGUCCAAAAAUAAAUCCUCUACUAUAGUAAAAAUCAAAUAAAAACAAAAAAAAACACAUGGGUUUCCUCCCAAGAAGUGCUUGAUUUAACAUCGCGGCAUGACGCAGGUUACCAUCAAAUCAUUUGAGAUGAAGAAGUGCCACCACGUGGCUGCCAUCAAUUUUCCCAAGUAGUGCUUGACCAUAUGCCCAUUCACACUAAAAACUUCCCCAUUUUUGUUCUUUAAAUCAAGUGCAGCAAAUGGGGUCACACAUACCACUUCAAAAGGUCCACUCCAUUUUGACUUAAGCUUUCCUGGAAAUAGACGUAACCGAGAGUUGAACAAGAGAACCAAAUCACCUACUUUAAACUCCUUGCUACGAGCAUAUUUAUCAUGAAGGUACUUCAUCUUGUCCUUGUACAAGGACGAACUGGAGUAGACAUGGAAUCUGAAUUCAUCAAGUUCAUUGAGUUGCUCCACACGAAGAUUGGCUGCAACAUCCCAUUCAUGAUUUAGCUUCCUCAUAGCCCACAUGGUCUUGUGCUCUAACUCAACCGGUAGAUGGAAAGCUUUCCCAAACACCAACCGAUACGGGGACAUACCAAUCGGAGUCUUGUAAGCAGUCCUAUAAGCCCAUAGAGUGUCAUCCAACUUCUUUUCCCAGUCGGUCCUAUUUACAUUGACCGUCUUUAAAAUAUGCUUUUGAUUUCGUUGUUGGAGACUUCAACUUGACCACUUGCUUGAGGAUGAUAGGGAGUAGAAACUUUAUGAUUGACACCAUACUUUACAAGCAAAGUGUCGAAAGCUCUAUUGCAAAAAUGAGGUCCCCCAUCACUUAUGAUUGCACGAGAAGUACCAAACCUUGUAAAGAUGCUCUUCUUGAGAAAUGCAACAACACUCCGGGCCUUAUUGUUGGGCAAAGCUACGGCUUCAACCCACUUUGAUACAUAGUCAACCGCCACAAGAAUGUAAGUGUUCCCACAAGAGCUAACAAACGAUCCCAUAAAAUCAAUGCCCCAUACAUCAAAAAUAUCAACCUCAAGGAUGGUAUGGAGAGGCAUCUCAUCUUUCUUAGAAAUUCCACCCGCUCUUUGACAUUUAUCACACAUCUUCACUAGUUCACUUGCAUCUUUGUACAAAGUUGGCCAAUAUAACCCACAACUAAGAACUUUGGAAGCCGUCCUCGCCCCGCCAUGAUGGCCACCAUAGGGAGAGGAGUGACAAGCCUCCAAGAUACUCACUUGCUCUUCCUCCGGGACACACCUUCGGAUCACACCAUCCAUGCAAAUCUUGAACAAGUACGGCUCAUCCCAAUAGAAAUCCAAACUAGCCUGAUUGAGCUUCUUCCUUUGGUUAGAAGACAGCUCACACAAGAUUAUACCAGUCACAAGGAAAUUAGCAACAUCGACAAACCAUGGCAUAUCAUUCAUCGACACCGAAAGGAGUUGUUCAUCGGGAAAUGAAUCAUUGAUCUCUAGGCCGUCACGAGGCCUCCCCUCCUCCUGCAAGUGGGACAAGUGGUCCGCCACUUGGUUCUCACCACCCUUCCGGUCCAUAAUCUCCAAAUCACACUCUUGAAGUAACAAGACCCAUCGCAUCAGUCUAGCUUUGGAAUCUUUCUUUGUCAUCAAGUACCGGAGUACGGCAUGGUCGGUAUGAAUAAUAAUCUUAGCACCCAUAAGAUACGGCCGGAAUUUUUCCAUUGCGAACACAAUAGCCAAAAGUUCUUUAUCGGUCACCAUGUAGUUCACUUGAGCAUCAUUCAUUAUCUUGCUCGCAUAAUACACUGGAUGAAACAUUUUUUUCACUCUUUGACCCAAAACCGCCACAACCGCAACAUUGCUUGCAUUACACAUGAGCUCAAAGGGCAACUUAUGCUUGAGAAGUUCAAAGGCUUGCAUACAUUUUUCAUCAAACACGAACUUAGCAUCUUUUUCCAAUAACUUGCACAAGGGAUUCACUACCUUCGAAAAGUCUUUGAUAAAUCUCCGGUAGAACCCCACAUGCCCAAGAAAACUUAGAACUCCCUUGACAGAUGUAGGGGGAGGGAGCCUUGAAAUCACAUCAAUUUUUGCUUUGUCUACCUCAAAACCAUGCUUUGAAAUUUUAUGCCCAAGAACUAUCCCCUCUUCUACCAUAAAGUGGAAUUUCUCCCAAUUGAGAACAAGAUUGGUUUCUUCACAAUGGUCCAAGACCCUAUCAAGCUUUUUCAAGCACUCAUCAAAUGAAUCCCCCACAACACUAAAGUUGUCCAUGAACACCUCCAAAAUGCCUUCCACCAUAUCGGUGAAAAUGGCCAUCAACCCAAAAGGCAUCCUAGAAAAUGCAAAUGUGUUAUAUGGACAAGUGAAUGUAGUCUUCACCUGAUCUUUCGGAACAAUCAAGAUUUGGUUGUACCCAGAAUACCCAUCCAAGAAAUAGUAGAAGGCAUGCCCAGCAAGUCGAUCUAACAUCUGAUCAAGAAAAGGCAAAGGAAAGUGAUCCUUGAGGGUCACUUUAUUCAACUUGUGGUAGUCCAUGCAUACCCUCCAACCGGUGACAGUUCUUGUAGGAAUCAACUCAUUUUGUAAAUUUGUAACCACGGUCAUGCCACCCUUCUUUGGUACACAUUGCACCGGUGAAGUCCAAGAGUUAUUAGAGAUGGGGUACACAACCCUGGCAUCCAACAACUUGAUCACCUCCUUUUUCACCACUUCUUGUAUUGUCUUGUUCAACCUCCGUUGAUGCUCCAAGGAGGGUUUUGCAUCAUACAGAAUGCAGGGCUUAUCCCCCGAAUAUCAGCUAAAGUUCAUCCAAUUGACUUUUUCUGCUUUUGAAGCACUUCCAAUGUGGCAUCAACCUGCAUGUUAGUAAGGCAAGAAGAAAGAAUAACUAGCAAAGUAGAAUUUGAGCCUAAGAACUCAUACCUGAGGUGUGGAGGCAGUGGUUUCAACUCUAACACCAGAGGCUCCUCAAUUGAAGGUUUUGUUGGUGGAGUCUUUAUAUUCUCGAGGUUCAAAGAUAAUUUCCUAGGCUCAUAAGAGUAAGAGCCCAUUCCAUGUAAAGCAUUCACGCACUCCACUCGGCUUGCAUCCUCAUUGACAUCAAGAUUCAACAAUACGGCCUCCAAAGGGUCCUCCACAUUGAUCAUUGCACUGGUGUCAUCAACUAUCACUGUUGUAACAAGGUCCACAAAAGAGCACACCUACAUAUUGUUGGGUUGCUUCAUUGAUUUGCAAACAUGAAAGACCACUUUUUCAUCACCCACCUGGAAGGUGAGUUCCCAUGCUUCCACAUCAACUAAGGCCUUCCCCAUAGCAAGGAAAGGUCUCCCCAAAAUGAUAGGAACUUCAUAAACCACCUCACAAUCCAAGAUCACAAAGUCAGCUGGCAAGAUAAAUUUGUCCACCCGGAUAAGCACAUCAUCAAUAACACCCAAUGGUCUCUUCAUCAUUCUAUCUGCCAUUUGUAAUCUCAUGAAAGUCGGUCUCGGCUACCCAAUACCCUAAGUCUUGAAAACGAAAUAGGACAUCAAAUUGAUACUAGCCCCCAAAUCACAUAGAACUAUAGCAAAUUCCGCACUCCCAAUGGUGCAAGGAUGGUGAAAGCACCAGGNNNNNNNNNNNNNNNNNNNNNNNNNNNNNNNNNNNNNNUUUAUAGUUUCACAAUCCAUAGAAUGCUUCUUUGUAACCAAUUCCUUCAUGAAUUUAGCAUAGCACGGCAUUUGUUCAAGAGCCUCUACCAAAGGCACAUUAAUGGACAAGCUCUUCAUCAUGUCAAUAAACGUUUUAAACUGAUUCUCAUUUUUCUGCUUCGCGAGCCUUUGAGGAUAAAGUGGAGGUGGCCUUGGCAAGGUAGCCUUGGCUUUAGGCACAACCAGCUCUGGCAUGUCUAUUAUGUGUUCCCUAGACGGGUUCACAUCAUUUUGAGUUUCCACCUCGACAUCUUGAAUAUCAAUCCUCACUUCUUCAUUCACAUUUUCAUCAAUCACAUUUUCACCCACCAAAGGAACUUUAUCUUCUUGCAACUCAACAUCAUCACUCAAAAUUUGCUUUUGCUUGGAGGCAUUCACAUCACCGCCUCUCCCGCUUCUUGUUGUUACCGCCAUAACAUGAUUGUUCCCACCCUUCGGGUUCACUACCGUAUCACUUGGUAGAGCACCCUUAGGGCGAGUAUUUAAAGACUGAGAUUUGGCCUAACUGCACCUCCAAGUUUCUGAUAGAAGUAUUGUGGGAAGCCAACUGAGCAUCCGAGUCCUCAUUCUUCUUCAUCAUUUGUUCGAACAUCAUUUCAAUUCUACCCAUAUCAUUGCUAGAAGAACUAGGACCUUGAGAUGGAAAUAGGGGUAGAUUGUUCUGUUGUUGGUACAUUGAGGGCCUUUGAAAGCCUUGCCCCCGGUUUCCUUGGUUUCCAUUGUUCCAUCCACCUUUAUUGUUAUUACCACACCAAUUGUUGUUAUUACCAUUCCAAUUUCCUUGGUUGUUUUGAUUGUUUUUUUAGUUGCCCCAAUUGUUGUUUUGGUUGUUGUUCCCCCAAUUACCAUUGCCUUGUUGUUGAUUACCCCAAUUGACUUGGGGUCGGCAUUGUUGUUGAUUAGAAGGGUUGCCCCUUUUGCGAUGAUAAUUAUUCACAUAUUGUACCUCUUUGUUUUGUUCAUCAUAACCAUCACUUUGAAAUCCACCACAAUCAUUAUCAAAUUGCUCGGAAUUCCCUUGGUUUUGUUGCCCUCUUUGUCUUCUUUUGUUGAUAAGCAUGUUGACACCCUCCAUGGCAUUCACUUGGUGAGGAUUUUGAACUUGUUGCAACUGUGUCUUUGCUAGUUGGUUCAUCGUAGUUGUCAACUCAGCUAUAGCCUGCCCAUGAUCAUGUAACUCCUUGUGCAAAUGAGUAACUGUGGGGUCACGCUAGGGCACAUUGGCUCUACUUUGCCACGCAGAAGAAGUGUCAACCAUCUCGUCAAGAAUAUCACAUGACUCAUCAUAUGAUAGCUUCAUAAAGUAGCCCCAGCAAGUUGGUUUACUAUGCAUUGGUUUGUGGUGUUAAUACCCUGGUAGAAAGUCUGUUGGAUCAUCGCCUCGGUCAUAUCAUUGUUGGGGCAUUCCUUCACUAUUGUUCUAUAACGCUCUCAAAUCUCAUGCAAAGGUUCUAUGGGCUCUUGCUUGAAAGCCAAUAUCUCAUCUCGCAAUGCUUCCAUAUGCCCUGGUGAGAAAGAUUUGGCAAUAAACUUGCCCGCCAACUUAUCCCAAGUAGUGAUGGAAUGGUUUGGAAGUCGCUCGAGCCAAUCCAAUGCCUUCCCUCUGAGUGAGAAUGGGAAGAGUCUCAACCUAAUAGCAUCCUCGGACACAUUAGUCUGCUUGCUCACCUAACAUGUAUCCACGAACCCUUUGAGAUGUUUGUAAGUAUUUUGAUUUGUAGCGCCCGUGAAAUACCCACGCUGCCCUAGUAAUGUCAACAUCAUAUUGGUUAUUUGAAAAUUGCCUGCUCAGAUUCGGGGUGGGACAAUAGCACUUGCAUAGCCUUGGUUCGGAAGCACUCUAGGAGCCACUCUUGGAGGUGACGGAGGAGGGUCUAGAAUAUUGUCAUUUGCAUUAGCAUUGGCCUGGUGGCCUCUACAUUGUCCUUGAGGUACAAGAGGUACCUUAUCAUCUCCGACAUCAUCUACCUCCUCCCCCGCAAUCACAUUUCCAAGAGGAUCAUUGGCGUUGUUCGCUACCAUUUGGUACCUGAGUUGUGACACAAACAAAUUAGUAACAAAGAAGGAAAGAAGAACAAUACACAAAACUAGUUAGAUAGAUAGCCAAAAUCAUUAGCUCCCCAGCAACGGCGCCAAAAAGUUGAUUGAAGCCAACCUUACACCACUAUUGAGUAGCAAGAGAGGGUCGAAGCAGCUUUUACCCGAUUAAGGUCGGGAUCGAUUUUCACAAGGAGCUAGAAGUUGGAGUCGGGUGUCUAUCUAAAGUGGAGUUGUGUAUGUAUUCCAAAUUGCACUUCUAAACAUUUUUGGGUUUUGAUUUACUUCUAAUUAUAUAUACUACAAUAUGCAAUUAAACUAGAAUAAGCUAAGAGUAAAUUACUGCGAGUUGUUCAAAUGGUUAAAAGGCACUAGGGUAGUUACUUUCGCCUAGGUAGUCAAUUGACGGGUACUUGAGUCUAAGGCAUGAUUGACACAUUUAGGGAGUAUGAUAUAACCAUUUCACAAUUUUACCCACUAUACACUUCUCAGUGGUUCGAGCGAUUUUGCCCGAAUUGACUUUCUCAAGACCGAUUGAGUAUGAAAAUUUGCACAAGCAAUCUAGGUUCAAGUCGGGUAUUACUAUCUCUAGAUUUAACCCAUUAAUUGGGGCUAUCAAUCUCUUGAGUACGCCCCAAUUCCUUGUUGGACCAAUUUCAGAGACUUAGACUCUCUUUUGUCAAGAAGAGCCAAAGUCAACUAAACCCAAACUAGUGUUUGCAACCACUAAUUUAGCAUAUAACCAUGAAAUUAGUCCAAAUAUCAAAUACCCAUAAACAAUCAAGCAUCAAAACACAAGACCCAUCAAUUAUCCAUACUAGGGUUGAGCCACAACCCUAACUUAUGGGUCUAGCUACUCAUAAUUAGAGAAGAAAACAAACAAAUAGAUGAAGAAAACUCAUAUUAAUUAAUUGCUAAGAUAAACUAGAAGAUUCAAUGUUGAAAUGAAGCUAAAAUUGCUAAAAAUAGCUAAAACUAUCGAAGUCACGAGUGCAGCUCAGUACUUAAACUAUCUGAUGACCUAAAAAUGGAAAAAGAAGCUAUUUAUACUAAGUUAAAAAAUCUGGACAGAAAUACCCCUACGGGGCUAGUGCGGACCGCACAAAAUCACGUGCGGCCGCACUAGGGCUCUAAACUUGAAAAUCUAGCUCUUUGAACUCGGGCAAUGCGGACUGCACAGACUCGAGUGCAGCAGUAUUGGCUUCUAGUGCGGUCCGCAUGAAAUGGAGCACGGACCGCAUUGGUUUCAAUCUCCAAACUGGCACUUCUCUAAUCCUUGGUUCUGCGGACCGCACUAAAUCGAGUGCGAUCGCAGUGACUCCAAUGCGGACUGCAUUAAAUCUCAUGCGGCUACAUUGCCUGUUGGCCUGGAUAUCAGCCUCUCUGAACCUCACUUGUGCGGACCGCACAGAAUGGUGUGCGGCCGUUUUAGGCCUGUUUUGCUUGAGCUUUGUCUUGUCUUGGUACUUGUGCAAGUUUCACUCCCUUUUGAGCUAAUCUUUGACAUCUUGUCACUUUUUUGAUCAAACCUGGAAUCAAGAACAACUUGUGAGCCUUUUGGGACUAUUUUGUACANNNNNNNNNNNNNNNCGUAACAUCACCGUAAUGUAAUACUACAGGGUGCGACACUGUCGUAACUAAUUACUGCAAAGCAUAAUAUCACCGUAAUGUAAUACUGUCCGGUACAACACUAUUAUAACUUAAUACUGCAGGACGUAACAUCAAUCAUAAUAUAUUGCUGCAGAGGAUAACAUCAUCAUAAUAUAUUACUGCAGAGCAUAACAUCGUCGUAAUAUAAUACUACGGGAUGUAAUAUCGACAUAAUAUUGCAGGAGUAACAAGGAAUUAAACUCUUAAUCCCUCCCUAACUUGUAAUACACCUACUACAAGCCACUUUGCAAUACAACUAUUACAAAGACUUCAAUUCAUGACUAACUCUAGUCACGACACAAACACUAAGGGUUUAUGGUUUUUCAAGAGUUCCUAAAAGAAGCUUCUAAAUAAGCAAAGUAGGAAUUACAAUGAAGAAAAAUUACAAAGUUACAACUCACCAAAGGAUAUACAAGAGACUUGUUGUUGGAACUGAUCUAUAGUAGUGUUAUAUUUUGUUCUUGAUGUACUUGAGAACUGAAUACUUGAUUUUCAAAUGCAUGAAUGCUUUUGUGAAUUCUCUAAUUGUUCAAGUGAUGUUUUGCUGUAAUGUUUAAUGUUAAUACAAUAUGGAUGACAUCACUUGAAUGAUGUAAUCACUUGGUAGGUCAAUAAGAAGUGAUUGUUGAACUGUGCUGCACUAUUUCUGUGUGUAGUGCAGGCAGUCACUUUCUAGCUAUAGACAGUUGACUUCGUAUUAUUGUCAAGGAAACUCAAGGGUAUCAAGUCCCUGUGUUGAUUCUCUAUCUUCUGAAGUCAUAGCAACUCACAUUAGCUGGAGUCCGUUGAUUUGAGUUGUGUACCAAGUGUGUCAGGUUCCUUAUCUGGUUCUCUGAUAGUAAGUUUGUUAGAUCAUCAAAACAUAAAGCUAAGGUAUUGUAAAACCAUCAAUUUUCCCCUUUUUGAUUAUGACAAACUUAGAAAUUGAUAACACAUGUUUAAAGCAAAAUUAAUAGAUGAAGUAACAAGAACUACAUAAGUUUCCCCUAACUUAAUACUUCCCCCUUAAUCAGAUCCCUAUUUCAAUUAUGCUUCCUAUUUUUGGAAUCAUUAAAAAUACACAAGAAAGAAAUCAACAUAAAGAAGUCUAGCCGAACUAACUCAUGCCACAUAUGUGCACACAACAUGAUAGAAAAGAGAAGCAGAGAAACAUAAGUAAUAAAUAGGAAAAGAUGAUAGUUUUUAUAAACCAUAAGCCUUUGCCAUUACAGCAAAGGCAAAUUUGGACUGUUAUCAUCAGGAUCAGUACAAGGAAAUUUUAUCCACACCACAAAAGAGGUAGAGGGUUAGCCUAGGGGACACUAGAAGGAGAGGGAUUAAAAGCUGCGGGAAGAGUGUUGAGAACGAGAUCAAUUUGGGCAUUGGCCGACAUUUGAUUUGCGAGCAGUUUCUCCUGUAGGUUCUCCACUUGUUGCCUGAGAUCGGUAUUUUCUUUGGUCAGACGAGCGAUCUCCUCAUUUGAUCCUGGUGCCCCUUGGGCCUGCUGACUCUCCAGAAUGUCAUUCUUUGCCUUCAACUUCCUAAACUCCUCAGUAGAACUAUUCUGGGCAUUGAUAAGCUGAGUGAUUGUUGAAGUGCUUCCUACCCCUCCACCUUUUUCAACACAUUCACAUUCCUCCAAAGUAGUUUGAGAGAAUGUCUUCUUCUUGGUCCCUAUCUUGGGAUGUCACAGAGGUACGUCAAAGAACUUGAAGACAUGCGUGAGAAGAAAUCCAUAGGGAAGACCAUGGUUUCCAUCUUUGAAAGUUGUCACCUUUUGCAUGUGCUUAAUCAUGAUGGCUGGCAAGUUUACAGCGCGGAACCCAUCCAGUGCUUCCAUCAAAUACAGAUCAGACUUGGAAGUGAUGGACCUUCUCUUAACACGGGGUAGAAGAACCUUGUUUACCAACUCAAACAAUAGCUGAUAAAUAGAAAUAAGAGCUUUCUUGUGUACUCGUUCCCCCUGCGGGACUACUCCCUCCUUUACAAUAGCAUAAUAACCGCAUAUAUUCUUGAUAGAGGACAUACCAUCAGCAAGGACCUUAAGUAUGUCCCCAAGCAGAGCAACAUCCAAAACAAUAUUAACUCCAUUGACCAGAGCACACAUAUGAUCAGUUUCAACAGGAAAGAGGUUUGCAUAGAAACUUUGGACCUCAUCCUCAUAGACUUUGGGUACAUCCACCUUGAACAGAUGUCCCCACUGUUGAAAUUCGACCAUGUCUACUAUUUUCCUCAUACCAUCCAUUUUAGAGAUUUCUGGGUCAAAAGUGCGACCCCAUAGAAUCUUUUGGUACCUCAGCCUUUCCUUAGAAGACAUACUUUCAUGUUUCACUCUCUUUGCAGAAUCAGGUUCCCUCCCAGUUUCCAACUUUCUUUUCCCAGACUUCACAUGCGAUUUACCCUUUCGACCGGAUCUCACUAAGAUAUCCUCAUCAGAUAAUGAUUGUUCACCCACUACUUGUUUCAACUUGUCACCACUUCUCACUGACUUUGAACUUGGCAUAUCAAUACCUUCCUCUGAAGCAUUUUCACCAUAUCGCUUAUUUUUCUAAGACUUUUUAACCAAUGAACUUGGUUUCUCUACUACUUCCUCAUCCAUUUCCACUACAGGAAUGUUUUUGUCACACACAACCUCUCCAUUUUUCACUAGCCUCUUUUUCUUCUUCUUUCUACUCCUUUUACUCUUCUGUAGGGCAGACUCUAAAGCCUCCUUUGCCUGUAAUCUAGUAGUAGGACACUUAGGAGAAGGCUCGGGAGUGGUUACUGCCCUCCUUUUGGCAAUGAACGCAUAUAGAGUAACAUUAUCUUGAUCUUCUUCAUCACUAGACCUCAUAGCAGGAGCCAAAAUUUCUAACGGCUCAACAUCAAAGUGAGGAGAAGGAGCAGGGUCAAAAUUGACCUGGGAAGAAGAUCCUUGACCUGUUUCCUCAGGAGAGGGGUCAUGUCCUUCAAGAAGGGUCCCAGUAGUUUCUUCUGGUGCAGGGUAUUCAAAGAGCACCACAGUUACUUCUCCCACUAACGACUAAGUCUCUACUCCCUAAGACACAGGCAUAGUAGAGAUGACCCCACACAUUAUUCCUUUGGCAGAUAUGGCCAAUAUGUUUUCUAUAGCCUCUUUCUCUUAAGAUUCCAUGGGUGCAACAAACUCUGAGAUGGGAACAAUUGUAGACUAAUCAAUACUAACCUUUGAGACUUUUUCUGCCUAUAGAGCCUCACUUUGUUCUCUAUCUUUGCUUUGUGCUGUGAGAAUCUCAGGCGAUAGAGACAAAAAGCUAUCGAGUUUGGGGGUUUCUGAGUUCUCAACACUUAGAGGGAGAGAGAGGUCUGAGGGAGUGAUAGGAGAAAUAUAGGGUGAAGAGGAGUCAGGUUUAGGGGUAUCAUUUGUAGUGGUGGUAGAAAAGGGGAUGGUGAGAGGUGUUUCACUAGAAACGGAAGAAUCAAGGGUUUUCUCUGGGGUUUUCUCAACUAAGGGGUGGAUUAUUGGUUGAUCUUCAGCCAUGGUAGAGAAGAAGUUUGAAGAUUUUACAGAAGGGCUGAAGAGAAGAGAUGAUCAUUCAAAGUGAUGAGAGGGUUUUAAUGGGAGAAAAGACAAUUAUAAGGGAGAGAGAAACCGGUUCUAAAAUGGCGGUAGUUUUGUGGGGAGAUGCAACGUUUCAUAGGGAGGUAAAGGAAUUUGAAUGAAAAAACGUGACAUACAGGGUCUGAAAAGGUUGAUGACAUGGCACUCAAUUUUUAUUUCCUUUUAAGAUAUGUAUGAAAAGCACAAGACUACUAACAUGUGGUACAAGAACUAGGUUCUUGACCUGUCUUUCAAAAGUUCUCAAUCCUCUUUUACCUCUCAUGCAGUGCUUCUGCAGCUUCUAUAAUCAUCAUGUGUGUUUACCUGCAACGGUAUUGAUGUGAGUUUGACUUGACCGAAAAGCAGUUUAGCUACUUUACCUGAAUGUGACUUUCUAGCCAUAUAGAAGGAAUCAAAUUCUCAAAUAGGCUUUAUUAGCCCCAGGUCUAGCCUAUUUCUCUCAAAAUAUUCUCUACUUAGUGCUUUGGUGAAGAUAUUUGUGAUUUGGUCUUCUGUACUAUAAAACUUCAUGCAGAUGAGCCCUUUCUCCAUGUUGUCUCUAAGAAAAUAAUGUCUCACAUCAAUGUUCUUGGUUCUUUUAUGUUGAAGCGGGUUCUUGGAAAUGUUGAGUGCACUAGUGUUGUCACAUAGAAGAGACACACAGUCAGUAUACACACCAAAAUCUUCUAACUACUGUUUGAUCCAUAGGAGAUAAGUAUGGCAGGAAGCUGCAGCAACAUAUUCUGCUUUAGCUUGAAGAAAGAGCAACUGAAUUUUGCUUCCUUGUGCCCCAUGAGAUGAGACAUGAUCCUAGAAAGUGAGCCAUUCCAAAUGUGCUUUUCCUAUAUACAAGAUAACCUGCAUAGUCAGCAUCAGCAUACCCAAUAAGAUUUAAAUUGUCACCUGAAGGAUAGUACAUGACUAGGUCCUAUGUUCCCUUAAGAUAUCUCAAAAUUCUUUUGGCAGCCUUCAGAUGAGAUUCCUUGGGAUUUGACUGAAACCUUGCACAUCGACCCACACUAAAGACAAUAUCUAGUUUGUUAGCAAUGAGAUAGAGAAUAGACCCAAUAAUGCCUCUAUACAUGGUUUGAUUUAUAGGAGAGCUAGAUUCAUCCAUGUCCAGUCGAGUAGCAGUGGCGAUAGGAGUGUUAAUCACUUUUGAUGCUUCCAUAUCAAACCUCUUCAGGAGUUCCUUGAUGUAUUUCUACUGACUGAUGAAUGUACCCUUUGUGGACUGCUUCACUUGAAGACCCAAGAUGAAAUUCAACUCACCCAUCAUGCUCAUCUCAAACUCACUUCCCAUGAGUUUUGCAAAUUUUUCACAUAGUGAAUCAGUUGUUGCCCAAAAAAUGAUAUCAUCAACAUAUACCUAAAAGAUGAGAAGGUUCCUCCCUCGUUUCAUCAGCAACAAAGUGUUGUCAAUUUUUCCUCUUGUAAAACCAUUUUCUAAGAGAAACUUUGACAGUCUUUCAUACCAAGCUCGAGGAGCCUGCUUCAACCCAUACAAUGUCUUGUCCAAUUUAAACACAUAAUCAGGCUGUUCAUGACAUUCAAAGCUUGGAGGUUGCUUUACAUAAACUUCUUCCUUAAGUAAUCCAUUCAAAAAUGCACUUUUGACAUCCAUUUGGAAUAGAGUGAAUUCCAUAUGUGAAGCAAGGGCAAUGAGGAUUCUGAUAGCUUCCAUACGAGCAACCAUCAUAAUCAAUUCCUUCCUCCUGAUUGUAGCCUUGAGCCACUAGCCUUGCCUUGUUCCUUGUAGUGUUUCCAUGUUCAUCAAGCUUAUUCCUGAAUACCCACCAGGUUCCUAUGAUGGUUCGAUUUGAGGUUCGAACUGAUGCAACUCAUCUUGCAUGGUUGUGAUCUAGUCUGCAUCUUUUAAGGCUUCCUUGAUGUUUUUGGGUUCUAUUUGGGAAAGAAAGGCUGAACAAGAAAGUGAAUUUCUAGUUUUUGAUCUGGUUUGUAUUCCUCAAUCUAGAGGGGUAAUUAUGUUGUCAAGAGGAUGGGAGCUUUUAUGUUUCCAGUUGGGCACUUAAGAUUCAUUUGUAGAAGACCUGGGUAAGUCUGACUGGUUACCUUGCAUUCUUCUCUCAGCUACCUGUGGAGUACUUUGAACUGCAUCAACCACUCUUUCUUCAGCUUCAGUGGUUGUAAUUAUGGUACAUGAUUCCUCUCCGGCUGAUUAGGAAGAGACUGCAUUGUCUUCACUUGACUCGUUCACUUGACUCAUCAUGUCUAUCUUUCCGUUUGUCAUAUAAAUGACUUCACCUGGAACCAACAGAGGCUCUUCAUCUUGAUCAUCCUUGUUUCGUUUCUCACAAGAGAGAUAGGACUCAUCAAAGAUUACAUGUACACUUUCAUCAACACACUGAGUUCGCUCAUUGUAUAUCUUAUAGGCUUUAAUUUGAGAAGAGUACCCCAAAAAGAUUCCUUAAUCACUCUUGGCAUCAAAUUUUCCAAGAUGAUCCUUUCCAUUGUUGAGAACAUAACAUUUACACCCAAAUGUUCUUACGUGAGUCAGCUUGGACUUCCUUCCAUUUAGCAACUCAUAGGGAGUUUUGUUCAAAAGAGACAUGAUCAUACACCUGUUCACCAAGUAGCAGGCAGUGGUGAUAGCUUCAGCCCAGAAGUUCUUAGCAAUCCCACUAUUGAUCAGCAUUGUUCUUGCCAUUUCCUCAAGGGUUUUGUUCUUCCUUUCCACAACUCUAUUUUGCUGUGGAGUUAUUGGGGCUGGGAAAUUGUGAGUAAUGCCAUUCUCGUUACAGAGUUCAUCAAACUUAGCAUUGUUAAACUCUGUUCCAUGAUCUGAUCUAAUGCAUGCUACUCUUGAUUCCAUCUUCACUUGGAUUUUCUUCACAAAGGCUACGAAAACUUCAAAGGUUUCAUCUUUGUUCUAAGGAACAGAGUCCAAGUGAAUCUAGAGUAUUUAUCCACAAUCACAAAGAUAUAUCUCUUUCCUCCCCAACUUUGCACUCUCAUAGGGCCGCAUAGAUCCAUAUGAAGGAGAUCAAGUUGUUUUGAGGUGCUGACAUCCUUCUUUGGCUUGAAUGAGGAUUUCACAUGCUUCCCUCUAGCGCAUGCAUCAUAGACUGUGUUUUUUGAACUUUGACAUGGGCAGAUCACGAGCUAGGUCCUUCUAAACCAGCUUAUUUAGUAGAGAGAAGCUUGUAUGCCCCAGUCUUCUAUGCCACAGUUCAACAUCAUCAUCAACUGCUUUCAAGCAACUCAGAUCACUACUUUGCAUGGACUCAAAAUCAACAACGUAGAUAUUCUUGUAUCUUUUGGCCACAAGUACCACUUCACCAGUUACUAGGUUUGUAACUAUGCAUAUCUUGGACAAGAAUUCCACCUUUUUUCCUUUAUCACAUAUCUGAGGGACACUCAAGAGACUGUACUUAAGGCCAUUGACAUAGUACACAUUCUCAAUUGAGUGAGUGAGUGACUUUCCAAUUUUUCCAACACCAAGAAUGUACCUAUUUUUCCCACUUUCAAAGGAUGCAUUCCCUCCUUGCACGGUUUUUAGUGAAAGAAAGUCCAUGGUAUUUCUAGUCAUGUGCUUUAAGCAUCCACUAUCCAUGAACCGUUGUUGACUACUUUCUUUCACUGUUCCCUACACAAGUAGAUCACGGUUUAGCUUUAGGAACCCAAACAAAUUCGGGUCCCUUAUAAUAAAUAAGAGGAUGAUUAAGUGCUAUUCUGGUCUAUGCAGGUAACAUGCGUUUUUUAUGGGUGGAACCUAUUCCUCUUUUAGGAGUUACUCUUUCAGCAAAAACUUUGUUCUUCUGAAGAGACUGAACCCUGGCUUUGCAAUUUUCUUUCAAAUGCUUAUUGUUCCCACAGUAGGUACACAUCUAGUUAUCAGGUAUAAUUACGUACUUGCAAUGAGAGUUAUAAGGAGUUCUCUCCCUUUGAAACCCUAUUCUUUGCCUGUUUCCACCAUUAUUAAUGUACAUGUCAGUAAUAGCAUUUGAGGACCAGGUCCACUUAAGGGACUUCUCAAGAUCAUUUUUUACUCUUUCCAAUUCUGCUUGGAGCUGUCUAUUUUUCUCAAGUUCAGCACACAAACUAGUUCUCACAGUAUUUAACUUGUUUUCAAGCUUAAUGUGUGCCUCACUAGCUACUUCUUUUCCUUUUUUAGAAUUUCCUCGCCUACACUCAGCUCUGAGUCCCUCUAUUGUUUCCUUUAAGUAUACAAUCACUACUAAGAGGUCAUCUCUCUCCUGCUCAAUAAUAGUCACUUUAUCCACUAAGGCAUCCUUUUCUUUACUGAAAUUCUCAAUGGUUUCUUUUAAGUCAACUACUACUAUAAUCAGAUCAUCUCUUUCGUGUUCUAUACUAGUGAUUUUCUCAAUUACAACCUUCUUUUCAUUUUCUAGAUUAUCUAUAGUUUCUUUCAAAUCAACCACACAGAUUACCAAGUCAUCUCUGGUUUGCUCAGCAUCUCCUAAUUCUAUGGUCAAGCCAUCAUUAUCAUUUACAAGACUAUGAUAGGCAUCAAUUAACAUAUUUGCUAAUGACAUAAGUUUCUUAUGAGAGUAGGAUUUCAUAUUUCUCUGAACAUCCCUAAAGUUUACCUUAUCAUUAUCGUCAUUUUCAUCAUUGUCUGAUUGAGCCAUCAAAGGAAAUAUUGAAUCAUAUUCAUUUUUUUCACUUUCAACGGCUAUCAUAGAACUAUCACUUGCAUCAGUUUCUUCUUCAGUCUCACUGGAGGAAUCUCCCCAUGCUGCAAGAGCUUGUUUCACAACGUUAUCAGUGGUAUUCUUUCUUUUGAAGCAUUUGUCAAGAACCGGGUUCCACUUGGCUGCUUUAUCAGGGUUAUACUUGAAGUGUUCUUGCUUUAGGAGAGGGUAAUCUUUGAUAAAAUGCCUUGGAUUUCCACUUUUAUGACAAAGGUCAUAAUUCUUUGGUCUGCUGGAAAUGCCUCUCUUUGGUAUCCCUCCAUUCCUUCUGACCAUUUUCUGAAACCUUUUGGUUAGGUAAGCCAUGUCACAGUCCUCCUCACUUGAGUCAUUGCUUUCAACUUUGAGUACCAGGUUCUUUUCCUUCUUUGGUUCUCUUCUUUCACUGUCCUUCUUCUUCUUCAUUUCGCAAGUUUUAAGAUUUCCAACUAGCUCAUCUAUAGUUAGGGCCUGCAAAUCCUUUGCUUCAGUAAUGGCAUUCCCUUUACUCUCCCAUGAAUUGGGCAAAAACUGAGAAUUUUCCUCACGAGCUUGUUCCUAGGAAUGAUUUUACCAAGCGAGUGUAGCUCAUUUAUGAUGGAAGUGAAUCUUGUGUGCAUGUCUUGAAUAGAUUCAUCGUCUUUCACCCUGAAGAGCUCAUACUUAGUGGUGAGCAUAUCAAUCUUAGAUUGCUUUACUUGAGUGGUUCCCUCGUGUGCUGUUUGUAAAGCUUCCCAUCAUUCCUUGGUGGAUUGACAAGCUGAGAUCUUUUUGUAUUCAUCAGGUCUUAUGUCAAACACCAAAAAAAAUUGGCACAAAAGUUUUUCUCCACAAUUUUCUUAUCUGCAUCACUGUAUUCUUUCCUGGUUUUUGGCGUCGUCAGUGGAGGGUUUUCGCCCUUCUUUGUUGGGACAUAAGGACCAUCACAUAUAAUAUCCCACAACUCAGAAUCUUCUGCCAUGAUAAAGUCAUGCAUUCUUGUCUUCUACCAUCCAUAGUAUUGCCCAUUGAACCUGGGUGGUCUAUACGUAGACUGACCUUCUUCAAAAUUUGGUGGAGCAGCCAUGAGGAUCCUUCCUAGAUGUGAACCUGAUAGAAAGAACUCGUUCUGAUACCAAUUGAUAGAAUAUAUAAGCUCACCAAACUAUAUAGAGACCAGUUUCUAUAUAGGUUUCCACAGAUAACACUAAUGCAAUAGUAAGUAAAUGGUACAGGGAACUUUUACAUGGAAAAAUCCCUGAUCAAGGGAAUAAAAAACCACGACCUACACUGGUAGGAUUUCAACUUCACUAUGAGCAAUCUUUAGAUUACAAUCUAUGCAAUCUAGGAAAUAAACUCUUAAUCCCUCCCUAACUUGUAAUAUACCUAUUACAAGCCACUUUGCAAUACACCUAUUACAAAGACUUCAACUCAUGACUAACUCUAGUCACGACACAAACACUAAAGGUUUAUGAUUUUUCAAGAGUUCCUAAAAGAAGCUUCUAAAUAAGCAAAGUAGGAAUUUCAAUGAAGAACAAUUACAAAGUUACAACUCAACUAAAGACAUAUACAAGAGACUUGUUGUCGGAACUAGUCCAUAGUAGUGUUAUACUUUGUUCUUGAUGCACUUGAGAAUUGAAUGCUUGAUUGUCAAAUGCUUGAAUGCUUUUGUGAAUUCUCUAAGUGUCCAAGUGAUGUUUUGUCGUAAUGUUUAAUGUUAAUACAACAUGGAUGACAUCACAUGAAUGAUAUAAUCACUUCGUAGGUCAAUAAGAAGUGACUGCUGAACUUGUUCCCUAGGUGCAACUAUAAAUAGUGACUUCAACAGUCAUUGUAAAGGACACGAAUUUUCUGACCAACUUAUGCUACAUACUACUUGAAAAGCUCAAUAAUACUUUAUUUCUUGUCUAUUGAUAUUUAUAUUUCUGCCUUCGGAAGCCUGCUCUCGAAACCAAGCUAUCUUCUGCCUUAUCUCGAUUUCAACGCUAAGUUUUGUAUUUUAUUUAUCAUUUUGGGAUCAAAUCGAUUCUCUUGUCUAUAAACCACGUUAUAAAUUCAACUGUACCGUUUUACGGAUAAACAAUUGGCUACUUGAAAUGGAGGUUUACAAAUUAAAUGAUCAAUUGCCAUAUCAUGUACUGUGUUUAAAUUUGAUAUAUUGAAUAGUACAUGCGAUCAGAAAAUGAUCGACAUGCAUAUAAGCCAAUGGAGCUAGUUCAACUAAUAUCUUCUUUACAUUUUAUUUUCAAGUAAAACAUUACAUUCAAUUGUCGACUCUCCACAAAACAAGAAACCUAAUGGGGAACAGAAGGAGCAAUCACAAAUUAUUAAAUAACGUCUAAGCAUGAUUCAUCUACAUGAAAAAUAGUGAAAGAAGAAAAACGACUCCCAUAGAAGAAGCAAAGGCCAAAAAUUUUGGAGAAGCAGAUGAUGAGGAAGGAGCCUUAG